GACGAACGCUGGCGGCGUGCCUAAUACAUGCAAGUUGAGCGCUGAAGGUUGGUACUUGUACCAACUGAAUGAGCAGCGAACGGGUGAGUAACGCGUGGGGAAUCUGCCUUUGAGCGGGGGACAACAUUUGGAAACGAAUGCUAAUACCGCAUAAAAACUUUAAACACAAGUUUUAAGUUUGAAAGAUGCAAUUGCAUCACUCAAAGAUGAUCCCGCGUUGUAUUAGCUAGUUGGUGAGGUAAAGGCUCACCAAGGCGAUGAUACAUAGCCGACCUGAGAGGGUGAUCGGCCACAUUGGGACUGAGACACGGCCCAAACUCCUACGGGAGGCAGCAGUAGGGAAUCUUCGGCAAUGGACGAAAGUCUGACCGAGCAACGCCGCGUGAGUGAAGAAGGUUUUCGGAUCGUAAAACUCUGUUGGUAGAGAAGAACGUUGGUGAGAGUGGAAAGCUCAUCAAGUGACGGUAACUACCCAGAAAGGGACGGCUAACUACGUG
rnacentral:rRNA from 1 species